GAUGAACGCUGGCGGCGUGCCUAAUACAUGCAAGUCGAGCGAACAGACGAGGAGCUUGCUCCUCUGACGUUAGCGGCGGACGGGUGAGUAACACGUGGAUAACCUACCUAUAAGACUGGGAUAACUUCGGGAAACCGGAGCUAAUACCGGAUAAUAUAUUGAACCGCAUGGUUCAAUAGUGAAAGACGGUUUUGCUGUCACUUAUAGAUGGAUCCGCGCCGCAUUAGCUAGUUGGUAAGGUAACGGCUUACCAAGGCAACGAUGCGUAGCCGCCCUGAGAGGGUGGUCGGCCACACUGGAACUGAGACACGGUCCAGACUCCUACGGGAGGCAGCAGUAGGGAAUCUUCCGCAAUGGGGCAAAGCCUGACGGAGCACCGCCGCGUGAGUGAUGAAGGUCUUCGGAUCGUAAAACUCUGUUAUUAGGGAAGAACAAAUGUGUAAGUAACUAUGCACGUCUUGACGGUACCUAAUCAGAAAGCCCCGGCUAACUACGUG
rnacentral:rRNA from 1 species